GUGCCUUAAACUAAUGAGUAAGGAAAAUAAUUGAGCCUUGGUAGUUCUUGGUUCAGCUUGUUUAUGUUUUUUCCGCAAAGGCGUAAGCUUUUGCAUGAAAAAACCAAGCAUGAAAUUUUUUUGACGGGUAAAGGUCGUCCUUUUGAGGUACGCUCGCCUACAUUCGCGAGUAACUUCGAGUGACAGCGAUCUGCCUG
rnacentral:snRNA from 1 species